UACGUAGGGUGCGAGCGUUGUCCGGAAUUACUGGGCGUAAAGAGCUCGUAGGCGGCUUGUCGCGUCGACUGUGAAAUCCCGCGGCUCAACCGCGGGCUUGCAGUCGAUACGGGCAGGCUAGAGUUCGGUAGGGGAGACUGGAAUUCCUGGUGUAGCGGUGAAAUGCGCAGAUAUCAGGAGGAACACCGAUGGCGAAGGCAGGUCUCUGGGCCGAUACUGACGCUGAGGAGCGAAAGCGUGGGGAGCGAACAGG
rnacentral:rRNA from 1 species